rnacentral:rRNA from 1 species
GGCAGACGGCUCAGUAACACGUAGUCAAUCUAACCUAUGGACGAGGAUAACCUCGGGAAACUGAGAAUACUACUCGAUAGAUCAUUAUGCCUGGAACGGUUUAUGGUUCAAAUGAAUUUCGCCAUAGGAUGGGACUGCGGUCUAUCAGCUUGUUGGUGAGGUAAUGGCCCACCAAGGCUAUAACAGAUACGGGCUCUGAGAGGAGAAGCCCGGAGAUGGGUACUGAGACACGGACCCAGGCCCUAUGGGGCGCAGCAGGCGAGAAAACUUUGCAAUGUGCGAAAGCACGACAAGGUUAAUCCGAGUGGUUCCUGCUAAAGGAAUCUUUUGUUAGUCAUAAUACCACUAAUGAAUAAGGGGUGGGCAAGUUCUGGUGUCAGCCGCCGCGGUAAAACCAGCACCUCAAGUGGUCAGGAGGAUUAUUGGGCCUAAAGCAUCUGUAGCCAGCUUUGUGAGUUUUCGGUUAAAUCUAUAUGCUCAACAUAUAGGCUGCCGGGAAUACUGCAAAGCUAGGGAGUGGGAGAGGUAGACGGUACUCCGUAGGAAGGGGUAAAAUCCUUUGAUCUAUGGAUGACCACCUGUGGCGAAGGCGGUCUACCAGAACACGUUCGACGGUGAGGGAUGAAAGCUGGGGGAGCAAACCGGAUUAGAUACCCGGGUAGUCCCAGCUGUAAACUAUGCAAACUCAGUGAUGCAUUGGCUUGUGGCCAGUGCAGUGCCGCAGGGAAGCCGUUAAGUUUGCCGCCUGGGAAGUACGUACGCAAGUAUGAAACUCAAAGGAAUUGGCGGGGGAGCACCACAAGGGGUGAAGCCUGCGGUUCAAUUGGAGUCAACGCCAGAAAUCUUACCCGGAGAGACAGCAGGAUGAAGGUCAAGCUGAAGACUUUACCAGACAAGCUGAGAAGUGGUGCAUGGCCGUCGCCAGCUCGUGCCGUGAGAUGUCCUGUUAAGUCAGGUAACGAGCGAGAUCCUUGCCUCUAGUUGCCACCAUUACUCUCUGGAGUAGUGGGGCGAAUUAGCGGGACUGCCGUAGUUAAUACGGAGGAAGGAGAGGGCCACGGCAGGUCAGUAUGCCCUGAAACUCUGGGGCCACACGCGGGCUGCAAUGGUAGUGACAAUGGGUUCCGAAUCCGAAA